rnacentral:tRNA from 1 species
GCCGCUGUGGUGAAAUUGGCAUACACGCAACACUCAAAAUGUUGUGGGGGAAACCCCAUAUCGGUUCAAGUCCGAUCAGCGGCACAA